UACGGGAGGCAGCAGUGAGGAAUAUUGGACAAUGGGCGCAAGCCUGAUCCAGCCAUGCCGCGUGCAGGAUGACGGUCCUACGGAUUGUAAACUGCUUUUGUACAGGAAGAAACCCUCUCACGUGUGAGAGAUUGACGGUACUGUAAGAAUAAGGAUCGGCUAACUCCGUGCCAGCAGCCGCGGUAAUACGGAGGAUCCAAGCGUUAUCCGGAAUCAUUGGGUUUAAAGGGUCCGUAGGCGGGCUUGUAAGUCAGUGGUGAAAUCCCAUCGCUCAACGGUGGAACGGCCAUUGAUACUGCAAGUCUUGAAUUACAAGGAAGUAACUAGAAUAUGUAGUGUAGCGGUGAAAUGCUUAGAGAUUACAUGGAAUACCAAUUGCGAAGGCAGGUUACUACUUGUGGAUUGACGCUGAUGGACGAAAGCGUGGGUAGCGAACAGGAUUAGAUACCCUGGUAGUCCACGCCGUAAACGAUGGAUACUAGCUGUGGGAGUGAUCUCAGGGUAAGCGAAAGUAUAUU
rnacentral:rRNA from 1 species